CCCUUAGAUGUUCUGAACCGCACGCGUGUUACACUGAUGCAUUCAACGAGCUUUACCUUGGCCGAGAGGCCUGGGAAAUCUUUUUAGCAUGCAUCGUGAUAGGGAUUGAUUAUUGCAAUUAUUAAUCAUGAACGAGGAAUUCCUAGCAAACGCAUUUCAUCAAAAUGCAUUGAUUACGUCCCUGCCCUUUGUACACACCGCCCGUCGCACCUACCGAUUGAGUGGUCCGGUGAAGUCUCGAGAUUGUGGCAAUCUCCUUUAUUGGAGUUUGACUGCGAGAACUUGCCUAAACCUUAUCACUUAGAGGAAGGUGAAGUCGUAACA
rnacentral:rRNA from 1 species